UACGUAGGGGGCAAGCGUUGUCCGGAUUUAUUGGGCGUAAAGAGCGUGUAGGCGGCCAGACAGGUCAGCUGUGAAAACUCGAGGCUCAACCUCGAGACGUCGGUUGAAACCGUCUGGCUAGAGUCCGGAAGAGGAGAGUGGAAUUCCCGGUGUAGCGGUGAAUGACGCAGAUAUCGGGAAGAACACCCGUGGCGAAGGCGGCUCUCUGGGACGGUACUGACGCUGAGACGCGAAAAGCGUGGGGAGCGAACAGG
rnacentral:rRNA from 1 species